rnacentral:tRNA from 1 species
UCCCUCGUAGCUCAGUUGGUAAAGAAUCUGCCUGCAAUGCAGGAGAUCCAGGUUCGAUUCCUGGGUAGGGAA